AUUUAGGUAGCUUAAUAUUAAAGCUUAAUAUUGAAGAUAUUAAAAUGGAUAAUUUUCCCUUAAAUA
rnacentral:tRNA from 1 species